GGAGGAAGGUGGGGAUGACGUCAAGUCAUCAUGGCCCUUACGACCAGGGCUACACACGUGCUACAAUGGCGCAUACAAAGAGAAGCGACCUCGCGAGAGCAAGCGGACCUCAUAAAGUGCGUCGUAGUCCGGAUUGGAGUCUGCAACUCGACUCCAUGAAGUCGGAAUCGCUAGUAAUCGUGGAUCAGAAUGCCACGGUGAAUACGUUCCCGGGCCUUGUACACACCGCCCGUCACACCAUGGGAGUGGGUUGCAAAAGAAGUAGGUAGCUUAACCUUCGGGAGGGCGCUUACCACUUUGUGAUUCAUGACUGGGGUGAAGUCGUAACAAGGUAACCGUAGGGGAACCUGCGGUUGGAUCACC
rnacentral:rRNA from 1 species